rnacentral:rRNA from 1 species
AGAGUUUGAUCAUGGCUCAGGAUGAACGCUGGCGGUAUGCCUAACACAUGCAAGUCGAACGAUGUCUUCGGACAUAGUGGCGGACGGGUGAGUAACGCGUGAGAAUCUGCCUCUAGGAUGGGGAUAACGGUUGGAAACGACCGCUAACACCCAAUAUGCCGUAAGGUGAAAAAUUUAUUGCCUGGAGAGGAGCUCGCGUCUGAUUAGCUAGUUGGUGGGGUAAGAGCUCACCAAGGCUUCGAUCAGUAGCUGGUCUGAGAGGAUGAGCAGCCACACUGGGACUGAGACACGGCCCAGACUCCUACGGGAGGCAGCAGUGGGGAAUUUUCCGCAAUGGGCGAAAGCCUGACGGAGCAAUACCGCGUGAGGGAGGAAUGCCUUUGGGUUGUAAACCUCUUUUCUCAGGGAAGAAGAUCUGACGGUACCUGAGGAAUAAGUAUCGGCUAACUCCGUGCCAGCAGCCGCGGUAAUACGGAGGAUGCAAGCGUUAUCCGGAAUCAUUGGGCGUAAAGCGUCCGCAGGUGGUUUCCAAAGUCUGCUGUUAAAGACUGGAGCUCAACUCCGGAACGGCGGUGGAAACUUGGAAACUAGAGUUCGGUAGGGGUAGCAGGAAUUCCCAGUGUAGCGGUGAAAUGCGUAGAUAUUGGGAAGAACAUCGGUGGCGAAGGCGUGCUACUGGACCGUAACUGACACUCAGGGACGAAAGCUAGGGGAGCGAAAGGGAUUAGAUACCCCUGUAGUCCUAGCUGUAAACGAUGGAAACUA